rnacentral:lncRNA from 1 species
CACCCGACUCGGUUUCGAGUCAAUCAAUCGCGGAUAGUCCGUGCACUAUCUAGCUCGAGGUGAAGGAACUCUCACAUGCACCUCAGCUGGCAACAGCUCACCGUACUCCUGUCCUAGCCGUCUGGCGGCGAACGAAUCGCACCUCACCCAACAACGGCCUAGGUCCAUGACUUAGCCACCCGGCGGCGAAAUCGUCGCACAAAUGUCACGACAGUGGUUCAAUCAACAAGCGGUAGGAUCCACAAACUGGCUAACCAUCCGGCGGCGAAAUCGUCGCACACGCCACGACAAUGGUUCUUUAGCCCUUGGGCGGCGAAAUCGUCGCACACACCCGACACCACUUUGGGUGUAUCUUUUUAGCCUUGGGAUUCCGGAAUCCAUUUCACAUCACAUUGGGGUUGGUCUUAACCCUAUGGAAUUGACCUCUCUAGGUCUAAGCUUUUACUCAACCUAAGCUCACCCCUUAGGUUUAUUGCUUUCACAUUCUUAACCUAAGUUUAUUACACUAGGAUCAUUAUUCUUUCCAACCUAAGUUCACUUGACUCUAGGUUAAGUACCUUUCAUUUCACGACCUAUGUUUAUUAACACUAUGUUAGAUGCCACUCGAUCUAAUUCACAUACUAAUUGUCCAAUCAAGCAUUCUACUCAUUCUAGAGUUAUCAAUUCUCAUUUUUCAAUGUUAUCUCUCUAAUCAAGCUAGAGUUAUCAACCAAGUUCAUAUGCAUAUAUAAUCUCACUUUAACUUAAUGUCAUCAACAUGCAUUUCAUUCUAUGCAUUAUGCUUACAUGCAUUCACAUAAUUAUCUACCAUUAUUCAACUUGCUCAUAAUGCAUUCUAUUUAGCAUUUACAUCAUACUAUCAAUAUGCAUUAUUUAGCUACAUGCAUCAUUUACGUGCUUCAUUUACAUUUAUAUGCAUCAACAUGGAUUCUUAGUUUCUUAGACAUAAAGGGCGACCUAGUCGCUUCGGUAAGCACAACCCACCUUAAUUUGCGUUCCGAUUGCUUGUUGACACUUGCAAUCGGCCUCCCGCGGCACCCUUAUCCGGCACGGCCCGAUACUGCAACUGCGCCUCAACCGUGCUCCGCUUCGCAGCCCCGAAAAUUAUAGGUCUUCGGUUAUAUGCCACGAUGCCUCAAAUCCAUUUCCAUGAUUUUACGACGUCGCCUCGGCCCUCCAGGCGGAAACGAAACCUAAACGUCUGUUUCUUUAAUAACUUCGCGUAGGCUCGACGAAUCGCCGAACCGACUUCGCCAACGCGUUCGUUUACCUAGCAAUUAGGUUUAUACAUGAUCAAUUUAGAUCAAAACCCCUCACAAGUAAAAACCCCUCUUUUGAUGCCCUAAGAUGCAACUAUGCAAGAAUUCAUCAUUUUAUCUCAAAAUUCGAGCAUCAACCAUCUAUUUAGCAUCUAGGAGUUUCACUAAACCCAUUUCUAAGGCAUACAAAUCGUUACUUAGCAAUCUACCAUUAUUACUAACAAAGCUUACCUCUCAAACCCAUGCUCUCUUCAAGCCAAUGGUGAAGAAAAGGAAAGCUUUACCUUUAAGUAAGCUUUUCUCUACCAACUCCACACUUUGGAGCCAAUCCUAAAGAGAGAGAGAGAGAGGUUUCUCUUAUGUUGGCUCAAAUGGAGAGGAAUGAGGGAAAUGACAUAACACCCUUAUAUAUAUAUAGGAGGAAACUUCACCUCCAAGUAAACUCCCCCAAAACACUAUUCACUCCAGGCAGUUCGAAAUCUGAUAUCUUUCGCCGGAACUCCCUGAACAUCCGUUUGAGCUCAAAUUUGACAGUCAUGUUCGGUCUCACUUAACGAGUCCAAAGAAAUUUUAAUAUUUCAGUUUCGACCCCGUUUGGUCACCGAAAGCUGUACCGAACUAUAAUCUUUAUCAGAUAGCUUUCGGAUUCUAGUUUUCACCUUCCGGGUGUCAGAAUGGCAUGGAACUUUAAAUCUAGCAUCAUAAAAAUAUUUAUGACAUCUUCGCUAAUUUUCAUAAUUUUCUGACACUGUGCAUUUUCUGCUAAUUUAUCUGCCCUGUUUCUUACAGAAAAUUCUAAAUCUUCUGUUGUCGCUCCGAUUUCAGCACAGGUCAUUCCCAACUUAUAUUUCACUUCUCUAAAUCCAAUAAAAAUAGUAUCUCAUACUAUUUUUAUUUAUUUUCACUUUUAUAUUUAAAAUCCGGUAUGUUACAUUCCGCCGCAACCUCACCGGAGCCAUUUAAAUGUACACGGUAACUUCAUAGUUUUAGAAGUCCGGUACCUUACACUAUGAGAAUGUAAUAACCCUAUAUGUGCAUGUAAAAAGAGAUAUUAGUUUAGUGAAGUUAAAGAACAAGUGACAUAUGACACGAGGAAAAUGAAAUGUGAGAAUGCAAGCUAAAGAUCGCAUAAAGAUUGAUGUAAAGAACACUAGAGCUAGUGUGUGGCAUCAAAGAGAACAAAUGUGAUAUAAAGAAUGAUAAAACUAGAGUUAGCAAUGUGUGGCAUUAAAGAAUGACAAUUACUAGAGUUAGCAACAAAAUGUGGCAUAAAGAACAAUGGCUAGAGAUAGCAUUAAAUAUGGGGCAUAAAAGAAUGCUAGAGCUAAUGCAUGACAUAAACGAUAGUAAAGAAUGUAAAGAACACUAGACUUAGUGUAAUGACAUGGUCGAAGAUAAAGAAUGCAAAGAACAUGAGAUUGACACAAUGACAUUCAACCUUAGAGCUAAGGGUCAUUUGUGCAUAAUUCCUUAGAGUUAAGGAACAGAUUGAACUGAACAUCCUUAGAGUUAAGGAUUGAUCAUACUCGCUAUAAGUCCUUGCUCGAGGGCGGUAGCUCCCCCUCGGGCGAUAAGCUUCGGAGUUUGUCAUCACUGGAUUGGUGCUGUUCCCCAGAGAACGGUCCUAGCGGGAGGAAGCUAAGGGCCCGCGAUCAUAGAUUCUGAGUUCGUGAGUUAAUGAGGCGAUACCCCGGGGUUAGCCUUGGGAUUGAACAAAGAAUAAAGAACAAAGAAUAUAGACCAUGCAUUCUUCAUGAGUUAUAUUGAGCAUCAUUUUUUAUCGCAUUGUUCAGGCAUAUUAGUUGCUUAAAUUUAACUAUUUAAAUUUUCAGCAAAUGAAACUGUACAUUCAGUUUCCAAAUAAUAGCUAAUUACCAACAAAGCUACUAAAAUUAGCAAUAAUCCCAUUUUAAAUGAGUAGAAUGAAGUAAUUUGAUAUUGAUAGAUUACUAACUGUUGAUGCCAAAAUUAAAAUUAGGCAGGAACGGUUGAGAAGUGGGAUGUAACUUCCACGAUCAUGGCUACACCACUCCCCCCACUACUAAAAACUGACCAAUAAUGUGGGCUGAGAAGACAUCACUAUAAAUAGUAAUUUUGAAGCCUGCAAUAGAGGUCUUUUCCCCGUGAACAGAAGACCACCUUUAUUUCCUCUACAAUUUCUUCGCAUUUUCUAGGAGUAGUCUACUUGUAAUCUUUUACUUUCUCGCACUUACCGUUUUACCUAGGAGUAGAGUUAAGUUAGAUCAACCGAGUCUGUAUGUCCUCAGGCACACUCGACCUUUGUACUGUUCUUGCAAGCUAAUUCUAAUAUAUCAAGGCAUUCGGCUCAUCAGCCGACCUGAAAUCCUUUGUUUUCUAUACAUUUGGCUCAUCCAGCCAGCCGAACCUAUUCUGUAAUAGAAGAUUCCCAACUCGGCUGAUCCGAUCCUUCAUCAGCCGAAUCACUUGAUCCAGUCGAAGGGCACAAACUUCGAGGGUCACUAAUCGUAGCCGUUUCGCAUCUCGACGCGCUUUUCGAGGAAGAUCUUUGACCGGGCCAAAGAAGAGGGAAUUCGGCACCUAAUAAUUUUGGCAUGCCCAGUGGGACACACUUAGGUUUUCCCAAUCUAGAUUUUGUCCUAUGGCUGACGAUAAUGCUAUGAACCUCCGGAAUAGAGUCAUUCCCAGGCCUUCAAGGAAUAACCAAGCUAGUAGCGCCGAAAAUGCGAAUGAGAAUCAGGCGGUACUACCUAUUGGAGGAGAGAUUAGUGAAUAGUCGGCUCAUCAAGAGUCGAGUCUAACUCAGGUACUCAACCAGAUGACCCGAGUCCUGCAAACUGUAGAUCAAAAUAUCCAUCAAAGUACCGCUCAACUAGACACGGUGCUGGCUGCUAUCACGGCCUACAAUAAAAAUAUUGUUCGAAUCAGACAGUUAUUUACCCAAAACGAGCAACCUUACGGGGGCAACAGGGCCCCUAAAUGUGUUGGUGCAACAAAAUCCCGUCACGUCGGUGGUCUCAUAGGCACAACCGCAAAUAGCACCUUUCCAGGCUUCUUAUAGGCCGGCGAAUAUAAACGCCAGCCCACAGUCGAAGAUUGCAUCGGGUUUACCUCCUUUACCAGCUUACCAGCCCCAAAACGUGGGCGUAAGGGCUGGAGGCCAAGGCUCCAACAGGUUGUAGGAACUAAACUCUGUAAUGCAAAAUUACGGACCGCCUUCAGGGCCGAAUGUGGUUCCGGCCCCGGUUUCUGCUUCGGCAGCAAGAAAUAAUGAGUUAUACGCUCAAAUAGGAGAGGUGAUUCGAAACACAUUUGAUAUAGGGGCGAGGUCGGCAGUGCGGCUUGUAUUUAGAUCCCCAUAUCUCGUGAACAUCGACGCAGAGAAUCUGUAUUCGGCAAACUGAAAAAUGCCGAAGUUCAACAAGUUCUCGAGCGAUGAGACCGAGAAUACGGUUGAGCAUGUAGCCCGGUUCACAGCCCAAUGUAGAGAAGCGAGCGCUGACACAUUUUUGAAACUUUGAUUAUUUAACACGUCGUUAACUAAAACGGCGUUUACUUGAUAUGCAAGUUUACAAGCCAAUUUCGUCCGAGAUUGGGAUGAAUUGGAAAGAAAAUUUUAUGAGCAAUUAUAUAGGUCGGAGCCACAAUUAUCAGUUGCCGACUUGGCUUUAUACCGACAAAAGUCAGGUGAAACGGUCGAAGAGUGUAACGCCCCAAAAUUUGACUAUAAAUAUUUAAAAAGAUUCCAAAAUGAUUUUGAGGGUUAUAGCCAGUUUUAUAUGAUUUGAACUCAAUUGAGUCUAAUCUGUCAUUGCACCAACAACCACUUUGGGAAAACUUUUAACCAUGUUAUCGACAUCCGAUUCAGGCGAAAUUGGUCUCGUUGGAAAGAUCAUCGAGUCAUCUUUCUAACGCAACCUGAACCAUGUCUGCCGCGAACGAACCGGCGCCGCCGUAGGUAUUUUUAAGGCAAGUGGUCAUUCAUGGUAGAGAUCAAAUUUGUUUAAAUUUUAUUUUAAAAUUAGGAUUAUAGGUUCAUGGCUUCCAACAGACUCAAGAAUCUGUUAUUAAUUACCCCACACUUUCAGUGUUAGGGAACCCUCGAUUAAGAGACUGAAUAUAAAUGCUGAUAAUAAAAGAGACCGAACAGACAAAUAAGAUUUUAUUAAUAUGAUUUGUCGUGUACAUGGCUUAAGCAAGGGCAUUCCCCCACUUUACAUAGAUUUCAUAAAAUUAAAUACUCAGUUUAUAGACUUGAUGGUCAUGUCUGAACUUGAUUUGCCCGGUUUAGCGACUUGGCGGUCGAUUGAAGUUGAGAUGCUCAGUUUAGCGGCAUGGCGGUCGAUUUUAAAUUGAGUUGCUCAGUUUAAUGAUAUGGCGGUCGGUUUGAAUUUUGAUGAUCAGUUUAAUGACAUGGCGGUCGGUUGAAGUUGAGAUGCUCAAUUUAGUGACAUGGCGGUUGAUUUGAAUUAUAGUGCUCAGUUUAAUGAUAUGGCGGUCGAAUAUUCAGUUUAAUGACUUAAUAGUCAUUCGUUCAGUUUAACGACUUGACGGUCACAUCUGAACAUGAUUUGCUCGGUUUAGCGACUUGGCGGUCGAUUGAAAUUGAAGUGCUCAGUUUAGCGACAUAGCGGUCGAUUUUAGAUUGAGUUGCUCAGUUUAAUGAUAUGGCGGUUGGCUUGAGUUUUGAUGCUCAGUUUAAUGACAUGGCGGUCGAUUUAAGUUUUGGUGCUCAGUUUAAUGACAUGAUUGUCGAGGGGGUUUGAUUUGAUUGUUCAGUUUAACGACUUGGCGGUCAAAAGUUCAGUUUGAAUGACUUAAUAGUCACUUGUUCAGUUUAACGACUUGACGGUCAUAUAUGAACUUAAUUUGCUCUGUUUAGCGACUUAGCGGUCGAUUUUAAAUUGAAUUGCUCAGUUUAGAGACAUGGCAGUCGAUUGAAGUUGAGGUGCUCAGUUUAGCGACAUGGCGGUCGAUUGUUCAGUUUAACGACUUGAUAGUCAUUUGUUCAGUUUAACGACUUGACGGUCGUUUCUGAACUUGACUUGCUCAGUUUAGUGACUUGGCGGUCGAAAGGGUUUGGUUUGAUUGCUCAGUUUAACGACUUGGCGGUCGAAAGGGUUUGGUUUGAUUGCUCAGUUUAACAACUUGGCGGUCAAAAGUUAAGUUUGAAUGACUUAAUAGUCACUUGUUCAGUUUAACGACUUGACGGUCAUAUCUGAACUUGAUUUGCUCAAUUUAGCAACUUAGCGGUCGAUUUUAAAUUGAAUUGCUCAGUUUAGCGACAUGGCGGUCGAUUGUUCAGUUUAACGACUUGAUGGUCAUUUGUUUAGUUUAACGACUUGACGAUCGUUUUUGAACUUGAUUUGCUCAGUUUAGCGACUUAGCGGUCGAAAGGGUUUGGUUUGAUUGCUCAGUUUACGACUUAGCAGUCAACUUGAGAUGCUCAUGAAACUGAUUCGUGAAAUUAAUUCAUGCUAAGAGCCCGUUUGUAAAGUCCAUUAAAUUAAUUGAUGAAAUUAAUUCAUGAUAGGGGACCAAUUGGAGAGCCCAUUGAAUUGGGUUUUAUAAAAUUAAUUUAUGAUAAGGAGUCAUUUGGAAGGCUUAUUAGUUCAUGAAAUUAAUCUAUGACAAGGAGGGCCUAUGAAAUUAAUUCAUCGAAUUAAUUCGUGAUAGGGGGCCUAUUUGGCAAACCCAUAAAAUUAAUUUGUAGAAUUAAUUCAUGAUAAGGGAUUCAAUUGGAAAGCCCAAGGAAUUAAUUCGUAGAAUUAAUUUAUGAUAAGGGGCCCAUUUGGAAAGUCUGUAAAAUUAAUUCAUGAUAAGGGGGCCUAUUUUGCAAACCCAUGAAAUUAAUUCGUAAAAUUAAUUUAUGAUAAGGGGUCAUUUAGAAAGCCCAGAAAAUUAAUUCAUAGAAUUAAUUCAUAAUAAAUGGCCCAUUUGGAAAGCCCAUAAAUUCGGUUUGGGUUGGAGGUAUUUGGAUGAUAUAGGUUUGGUAGAUUUGGUUGGAUUUUAUUUGUGAACUUUGGAUUUGGAUCUUUAUUUGUGGACUUUCGGUUUUGGAUCUUUAUUUGUAGACUUUGGGUUUUGGAUCUUUAUUGGUGGACUUUGUGGACUUUGGGUUUUGGGUCUUGUUUAUAGGUUUGGGGUUUUGGGUUGAGGAAUUUAUUCAUAUGGUUUUUUUUUUUUUUUUUUUUUUUUUUUUUUUUUUUUGUCUUGGUUUUGGAUCUAAAUCUGCAUAUGGGUUGAGGUUGGUUUCGGGCUGUACAUGUUCUGGGCCUUGGACCCGAAUCUGCAUGUGGACUUGGAUUGGUUUUGGACUUUAUAUAUUCUGGGCCUUGGACCCGAAUCAGCAUAUGGACUGAAAUUGGUCUUGGACUUUACAUGUUCUGGGCCUUGGACCCGAAUCAGCAUGUGGACUAAAAUUGGUCUUGGACUUUACAUGUUCUCGGCCUUGGACCCGAAUCAGUGUGUGGACUAAAAUUGGUCUUGGACUUUACAUGUUCUGGGCCUUGGACCCGAAUCAGCAUGUAGACUAAAAUUGGUCUUGGACUUUACAUGUUCUGGGCCUUGGACCCGAAUUAGUGUGUGGACUGAAAUUGGUCUUAGACUUUACAUGUUCUGGGCCUUGGACUCGAAUCUGCAUGUGGGCUUUAUUAUUUCUUUUUUUUAACUGUUUAUGGAAUUUAUUCAUUGAGCCCACAAGUAAAUGAUGGAUUGAACCAUUUUCAAAUUAAAUAACUCAAAUUCAUUUCAUCAAAUUUUCUUGUUCCAUUUUUUUUGUUCUUCUUCUUUUUUUUUUUUUGACUAAGAGAAGGAACAACUCUUCUUUUUUUUUUCUGUUUUUUUUUUUUUUUUUUUUUUUUUCUUUUUUUUUUCUUUCUCUUUCUUCUUUUUGGUUCUUUUUUUCUUUUUUUCUUUUUUUCUUUUGUUGACUGCCAGAGGGAAUCUCUCUCUCUCUCUCUCUCUCUCUCUCUCUCUCUCUCUAUACGAAACCGAGAGAAGGGGUGCCCUCCUUUUCUUUCUUUUCUUUUUUUUUUUUGCUGUUUUUUUUUUGUGCUUAUUCAUUUUUUUUUGUCCGAAGUACGAAAUUUUGUCUCUCUUUUUUUAAAAAAAUAUACGAAAUUGAUCACAUUGAGAAAUACGAUCAAAUCGAAUGAAGAUGGCGAAUCCAAAGAGAACCCUUCCAUUUUUUUAUUAUCAUUUUUUUUUUGUCGUUCAAGUACGCAGGAUUUAAUCGUGUCGAGCCUAUCAUGAAGUUGGCCACUCGAUUAAUUCUUUCGACCAUGUCGAGCUUAUCGCGAAGAUGGCCACACGGUUUACGUAGCGAAAUAAACGGUGCUCGAUCACCCAUUUUGACCAUGUCGAGCCUAUCGCGAAGAUGGCCGGACGGUUUACAUAGCAAAAUAAACAGUGCUCGAUCACCCAUUUUGACCUUGUCGAGCCUAUCGUGAAGAUGGCUGCACGUUUUACGUAGUAAAAUAUCCGGUUCGAUCAAUCAUUUUGACCAUGUCGAGCCUAUCACGAAAAUGGCCGCACGGUUUAGAGAUUAGCGAUGCAUACGCGUGACGGAAGCAACAAUUUAAUGUCAAAUUUGAUCGGUUCGAUAUCACGAAGAUGGUCGGGUUGAUCAGAUUGACAAAAAAAGCACUUACGCUAUGCGUAUGCAUGCAUAUCUCCUAUUGUUGUAGAAGUCGUCGUAAUUGUUGUUGUCGAAGUUGUAGCCGAGUUCAAGAGCAAAAUUCCUUCUUUUUUUCCUUUUUUUUUUGUUGCCGUGUACGGACAGAGGAGGGGGUGCACAUGGUGCCCCCUCUGCCAGCAAGCCCAAGGCUACACAAGGGGGAGAGAGAGAGAGAUAGAGAGGAGAGUAUAUAAAAAAAAAAUUUCGCCUUUUUCUUUCUUUUUCUUCUUCUUUCUGUUCUUCUUUUUUUUCUUUUUUUUUUCUUUUUCUUCUUUUUCGGUUCUCCCCUUUCUUCCUUCCUCUAAAAAAAAAUUCUCUCUAGAUCCCUUUUUCGAAAUUUGGACCUUAUUUUAUAUAGGAUUCAAAGAUGAUUCCCAUUUGGGAAUAAUUUUAAAAAAAUCAGCUUAUUGAGGAAACAAAUCUCAAUCAACUAAUUAUACCUCUUUUGUUUUAUUUUGAAUACUUUCCUUCUUUUUCUUUUGAAUCUUUCCUUUUCCUAUUUCCUUCCUUCUAUAUUUUCAAUUUGAAUUUUGAACUUUUUUUUCUCAAACAAACCACCUUAAACGGAUAUCGGACGAAAGAGUUAUUGCAAUUUUUCUAAUAGCCGUUGAUACAAUCCUGAGCUGCGAGCUAGUUCGAAAUUUCACCAAUUGUUAUGGGCAGUUUGGUAAAAUUACUAAUUAAAAAUAUAACUUAUCAAUUUAGUUGGUUAACUAUUGGUCCAACCAUAAUUUUUUCCAAGAAAAUAUUGAGUAAAAUUACAUAAACGCCCUUAAGUGGGCUGGUUUGAAUGGGAGAAGAGAAAACUCUUCUAUUCCCAUUCCCUUCUUCUUUUUCCCAUUUCCCCUUUCUCUCAAUACCCUAUUUCCCCUCUCUUCUACUUAGUAAUGAGAUGAAGGAUUUUUCCUUCAAAUUGAAGGGAUUUAGGAGCAGAACCUUUGGAGAAGGAAACCCAUUUUCAAGUUGAAACUCUAGCUAGAGAACAAAGUAAGUAAAUUUUCGGUUUUGUGCUUUGUGAGUAUCAAAGAAUGAAUAUUUUGAGUUGCAUGCAUGUUUUUCUAUUCUCUUUGAAGGUCCCAAGCUAUCCUUUAUGGAUUGGUUAUAGUUUUUGAAGAUUUUAUGACACUAUAUUCAAAUAUUGAUGCCCUAAAUUGGGGGUUUUUGCCCUAUUAUGAAAUUUUCUUGUGAUUUUAGGGUUGGGACCCUAAGAGCCCAAAAUGAGAUUUUUGAUAAUUAACUUUUAGUUCUUUCUACUUGAAUUUAGGGGCCAAUACAUAGUUAUAUGAAUUGCUUUUACUUUUAAGAGGUUUUGAUGAGUUAGUUGCAUGUUAUGAGGUUCCAAAAAUUAGGAUUUUGAUCAACUACAAGAUUAACCUUUUGUAGUUGAUUUUAAGAGUUUAGAAUCCUUAAAUUGAAGUGUCUAUCAUGUUCAAAUAUAUUGGGCAUGAAUGUACGAUUGAGCUAAGUUGUUUAAUCAAAUUUAAAUUUAGUUUGUUAAUAUUUCGAUCAAUUUAUGCUAUUCUCGGGUUGGACUAUUCCGGUUAGUUUUCGGAAGGUAUAAACAUCUUGUUAAGGUGUCGUUUGUUAAAAUUAAGUACCCCAAACCCUUUUAUAGAGUUUGAAUGAGUUAUUUUAAGGUUUUUAUCUAUUUUUAAAGAGUUAUGAGCUCCCAAAAUAGGGACUUUUGUUCUAACCCGAGAAUAGAGUAUAAUAGUCGAAGUGAUGGACUUAAAUAAGUCUAAAUCAUUUAAGAUUACGAAAAAUAAAAGAUUAAUGGAGAUACUCAUUAUUUGUAUGUUAGGUACUUCGGGCGUGCAUGCCGGAGCUCCUACGGCCGAACCUUCCACAUCUUAGAUCAGUCUUUUCUUAUUUUGAGGUGGAAUCCUUAUCUAUAAAUGAUGAACCUUAGUGGUCCUCUUAGUAUCAUACAUGCAUAUAUAUAUAUUGCUAUCGAAUGUUCGUAAUUCUUGUUGCGUGUUUAAUUAUUGUUCUAAGAACUUAUGCCAUCGUUGUUUAUUCUUUGGUUCACAAUGCAAUGGAAGUUGAUCUUAUACUCUAGCAUAUCUCUUAUUAUCAUAUUGUACUAGUAGAGGGUAUGCAUUUGUAUUGGAAGGUAGCAUAAUCUUGAUUAUUUGUUAAUUCCAAAAUAUAACAUGAUUGUUGGGACAUUGACCCUAUUUGGAUUCGCCGCUAUGCUUAUGGUACUCCCCGGGCCAUCUUGGAUGGCUCCUUGUGAUGUGGGAGUUUGAGUGAGAGAAGGCAUGAGUGGGUUAUCGGUGGUGGUCGCUCCCCACGCGGUAAGCCCUUUGCUCCCCGGGUUGAGAUUUGGAUUACGCAUUUACUCGAUUGUAGGUCGAGUUGGAUUUUUGUUGGGUCUUUUCUAGUUGAUUAUGCUUAUCCUAUGAUUUUACCAUUUACUUAUUGAGUAUAGUUGCUAUCGUUGAUCAUAAUGGUAGAUUCAUAUGUAUGUUUAUUAAUCAUUCAUAAUCAUUGUUUAUCUUUCCGUUGAUCACCUACUAUUAGGUUAGUGGGAAUUAUUGUCUCUAGAUGAGCUUCCACUGGGAACUAUUGUUAAUAGUUCUCAUUAUGUGGAUAUUACUAAUUUUUCAGGUAUGACCUUUGAGAUGAGAUCGGGCGAGACGACGACUAUAGUUAGAUAGUAGCAUGUUGAUCGUCUCCAUUUUUGUAUUAUGUAGAUCUUAUUUUUGUAUUUUGGACAAUCAUUUUGGAUAUGUAUUAGGUCAUAUUGGGACUAUGAAUUGUACAAACUUGCUACUUGUUAAGUUCAGGGCAUAACCAUUUAGAAGUUUUAUGUAUGCUUAAAUGGAAUGGUAUUUUGGAUAACCAAUCGUUACGUUGGUAACUUUGGGAUGCUUAAAAUUUGUGAAUUGUUUAUUUAAAUUUAUCAUAUUGUAGGGAUGUUGAUAUUAACGCCGGACAUACUUAAGAUUUCAAUCUUAAGUUAUGUGGUGGGUCUGUAGCUGUUUUACCUCUGUGGUGCUCACCGCUACCGGGGUGCUGCAAAGAGUAUUUGAACCGUUUCAAAAUAGCCAAAAUCCGGUGCUUUAUGAGAAUGCCAAAAUCAGAGUUCGCCAAAAUGGCGUUAAAUUGUUUGCAUUUUAAGAUAAAAAGACUAUUUUGAAGAUAAGUAUUUUUCUAACUUAUUUGAUCUAGGUGUUCAAGUUGCCCAAUAUGAGCAAUUUCGGAAGAAAAGUGAGGACGAUCGGCUGCAAUGGAGCCGAUAUAAAAAUCAAAACAAAGGCAAGGAGAAAUCCUUAAUAGAAGAACAGUCAGUUGAAAAAGAGCCGAGCCAAUCGAGUGAAAGUGAAGAAUCGGCUGAUGAAGCCGAGGUAUAUGCGGCUGGUAAAGAGCCACUUUCUUCAAGGAGAAAUCCUUGAUAGAAGAACAUUCGGUUCAAGAAGAGCCAAACCAAUUGAGUAAAAGUAAAGAAUCGGCUGAUGAAGCCGAGGUAUAUGCGGCUAGGAUGAUAAAGAGCCGUUUCUUUAAGCCGACCAAGACCAGCGAAACUAAAGCUUGGGUCUCGGCUGUGUCAUUGAGCAGUCGAUUUGGCACCAAUAGGCAUCCGAAUGUUCAUUCGAAAGACUAUUUGGGGGGCAUUGUUGAUGCCAAAAUUAAAAUUAGGCAGGAACUGUUGAGAAGUGGGAUGUAACUUCCACGAUCAUGGCUACACCACUCCCCCCACUAUUCAAAACCGACCAAUAAUGUGGGCUGAGAAGACAGCACUAUAAAUAGUAAUUUCGAAGCCUGCAAUAGAGGUCUUUUCCCCGUGAACAAAAGACCACCUUUAUUUCUUCUACAAUUUCUUCGCAUUUUCUAGAAGUAGUCAACUUGUAAUCUUUUACUUUCUCGCACUUACCAUUUUUCCUAGGAGUAGAGUUAAGUUAGAUCAACCGAGUCUGUAUGCCCUCAGGCACACUCGACCCUUGUACUGUUCUUGCAAGCUAAUUCUAAUAUAUCAAGGCAUUCGGCUCAUCAGCCGACCUGAAAUCCUUUGUUUUCUAUACAUUUGGCUCAUCCAGCCGAACCUAUUCUGUAAUAGAAGAUUCUGAACUCGGCUGAUCCGAUCCCUUAUCAGCCGAAUCGCUUGAUCCAGUCGAAGGGCGCAAACUUCGAGGGUCACUAAUCGUAGCCGUUUCGCAUCCCGACGCGCUUCCCGAGGAAGAUCUUUGACCGGGUCAAAGAAGAGGGAAUUCGACACCUAACACUAACUAAGAAAAAUAAAGUUGGAUUUCUUUGUUUUCCCCAUAAUUGGAGGGGUUCUGUUACAAUCUUACAUAAUGCAUUUUGCAAAACUUAGGAACCACGACCUCAUAUAUUAUUUGCAAUUAAUAGUCAAUCUAGGGAGCUCUGUGCUUUCAAACAAGAAAAGAAAGAAAGAAAGAAAAAAAAAAAAACAGAACUAAGUUUUUUUAUUAUUGCAUUACAAUUAGUUGAUACGUCCACAUGUAAAUCUAUUUGAUCAUAGGAAUCAAUCCUAAAAGUUCUUAUGCUUUCAAACAAAACAAUAUAAAUCAGAGAUUUCAAAAAUGGGAUUGAGUCCAGCUUAAAGCGAAAAAACAUCUAUCAUAGCCAAAAAACGUCAUGGAGAAACCAAAAUAAAGUUUCAAAUCCAUCAGUUUUUCCAUAAAAGAAUAUCCGGUCUUAAUUGUUAACCCAAAUUAGAACCUAUAGAAACAAAUAAUUUAAUUAGAUUGAUGAUAUAAAGAAAAAUAUAUAGAUGAACCAAUACAAAAUGAACAUAAUUUAAUAAAAAAUGUACCAACUGGAGCUUUACAAAGCUCUCACUACCAGACUGCUAACAAAAACUAAUAUAUAUAUAUGUAUACAAACCUAAAUUCUAAAAUAGGGAUUUUAAACCCAAAAUUAGAGGUAAUAGAAUAGGAACAAAUAGGAAACCCUCUCUAAUCCUUUAGCCUUUACCUUUACUACUAAUUGAUAGUUAACUUGGAGCAAAAAUAUUAAUGGAACAUAACCUUAUCAACUAAACCCUAAACCCUCCAACCAAAAAAAACAGAGAUGAGAGAGGGGGAAAAAAAAACUUUUAAAUUUGAAGUAUUGAAGUUUAAUUUUUCACUAACCCUAAUAAGUUGGGUUUUCACUAAGUUUCAAAAAGUUAUUUGGAAUAAAUAUACUAGGAGAAGAUAAAGACCAUAAAAAAGGAGAAAAAUCUAGAAGUUAUCUACCUGGUAGUAACUCGAGAGAAAUAGAGGUUGAGAAGAAGCAUAUGGAACCACAAGCUCCCCCAAAGGUUGCUUUAAUCGCUCGAAGACCUAAAUACAACACCUUGCUCCUUAGCCAUGUAUGGUCGCUUAGUUUCCUGCCCAAAUAUAACACACUACCUCUGAUGUUGAUGACUUGCUUCAAAUUGUAGGAUGAGGAAGGAGGGAGUGGUGGGAGAGGGGAGGGAAAAGAUGGCCAAGUUGAGGGAAUGGUGGGAGAGGGGAGGGAAAAGAUGGCCAGGUUCAGAAAAAAAACCUCAGGGGGAAGAGAAGGGGUAGGUGAAAAAAGUAGCGCGUAAUGAAAAAGAAGGCGCCUUUUUCUGUAGCAUCGCGCCUUUGGGCUUUUGCGACGGGCCAAAUCCAAAUUAAGACGACCAAAUAAUUUUUGGUCGGUACUCUGGCUCUUUUGGCCAACUGAAAGUUUAUUUAUAUUUUUUGCACUUUUAGUAACCACUUAAGGAGACUGGUCACCUAAAGUUGGUCACUAAAAAGCCUUUAUAUGUAAUUAGUAGGCUUUCCUACAGUUUGCUCCACGCAAGGGAAUAAAUUAAUUUUACCGCCAAAUUUGAAUGUUCUUCUACAUUCAACCUUUCAUCAUUUCUUGAAGGCGGAUUAUAUCUUGUCUCGAAACCUUCUAUGUAUCAAGAACAAAAAGUCAUGCAUUCAUCUACUAAGUAAGCUUCUGCAAAUAGCCCUCCGGACAAGGCCUGUUACGCUCAUAUGACUUUAAGGUCCCAAGGUACCUAAUAAAAAAAAAAAAGAUAAAAGAUAAUUUGAUUUGAUAAAUAAAUACUAACAUAAAAAAUUUAAAUGACUACUCUAUGUUUGGACAUACCAUUCAAUAGGAUACAUCCAUCGAUACUGAACUGGAUUGGCAAUCUUUGUCUUAGUAACCAAAUGGAUGACUAAAUGCACCAUAAUAGUAAAAAAAAAUUUACCGAUUGUCUCUAGAGUAAGUGGCAAACGGCUGAUUGGUACUCGAGGUCCCAGGUUUGAAUCCUAGUUGAUUCACAUUUCCAGCUAAGUUUAUUGCGCCUUAUUAGGGCACUCGCUACCAUUUAAAAGAGCAUGCCAGUCACAAACCUACUAAUAAACAAGAAUUGUUCAGCUUUCGUCGUUCAUCCUUGCGUUCUAAAGUUGAACGAGCAUUCGGCAUAUUGAAAAACUGUUUCAAGUUUUAACAUCCACUAAAAAAAUGUUGAUUUGUGGUGACACUUAUUUUAGUAACGCUUGACACAAGUGUUGACAAAAAUAUAUUUUAGCAGCGGUUUUAACUAAUUAUUAUAAUAGUUCAAUUCUAUACCGUUGGUUGUAGUAAUAUAAUGAUUGAGGGAUUUUUUGUUUCUUUUUAUUUUUCUUAUUUUUAAUUUUAACUUUUUAAAAUUUCCAAAGGAAUUGGGAAAACUAGAUGGAAAUGUAUUAUUGCUAAAAUGGAGCACAGCUUAUCUCAAAGCCGCAUUGGAUUGGGGCUUCAACGGUAAUAGAGGGUGAAAUUGGGCCCAAAAUUAUAGAUAUUUGGACCCAUAAGGGCCGUUUAUAUGAAUUAAUGUUUUGGAAUAAAUAGUUUACAUUGAUGUAAUUUACAGAAUUGAAAAUUCUAUAUAAAAGAAAGUCUUAAUUUUGUUUUUUUUAAAAAAAGCCUAUUUACAGGAACAUGUAAUAUAUAGAUUCUAGUAUUAGAAUAAAAAAAAAGUUAUAAAACUAGUGUGAAAGAGUUGGUUGUUAAAGAGUGAACUUAUAAGAUUACAACCAAUUUUUUAUUGUAGAGUUACCAUUACUUAAAAUUUUUCAUUCCAAUUAAAACCCAGCCCUAAAGAAAUUUUGAUCUCAACUAAGGGGGCGUUUGGAUUGACGAAUUUGUAGAUUCAACGUAAGUCAAGUGUAGUGGUGUUUGAGUUUCCCUGAAGUGUGAUUAUUUUUCUGUUGUUUGUUUUGACGUAACUCGUACCACUGAAAGUUAAAUUCAAUCACUUCUGCUGUUUGUUUUGAUGUAACUUGGUGCUGGUAAAAUUAGUUUUUUGAGUUCCGUUGUUUGUUUUGAUGUAAGUAAGUGGAUCACAUUAUCUCUUAAAUAUAGUAAUAAAUUUAUCACUAUAAAAAUUAACCUAUUAUAUAAUUAAUUUUUUUAUUAUUAUUUAAAGAUAAUCUUAAUUUAUUAUAAAUAAAAUAAUUCUAACCCAUUAUAAAGAAAGUAGAGUUUAGGUUUUACUGUUUAAUAAAUUAUUUAGAGAAGGUUGAGUGUGGUGGAAGUCGAGUUCGGUACUUUAGAGCCGGAAGUCGAGAGUAGGUGAAGUGGAGCUCUAACAUAACUUGAGUUACAUUACAUUUUUCACUUACACCAAAACAAAUAACGAAAGUGAUGGAACUUGAGUUCCAUCACUCCACUUACACCAAAACAAACAGGCCCUAAAAACCCAGCGCAAAAAGAAUUUUUGGAUCCCAAUAAAACCCAGCCCAAGUGAAAAGGAAAAAGGAAAAUAGAAUACGAUCAAAACCAAAACCCUCCUCCCAUCUCUCGCGCGCCGCGCCCCACCGUCCCCUCCCUCUCUUCACGAUCAAAUUCCUGUCCUCUCCCCCCCGAUACCGAUCCCCCUCAACACUCUCUCCGUCUCCGACACCGAUCUUCGUCUCCGACACCGCACCAACCCGCGGGACAACAGAGUUAGUAGUAAUCACUUGGUAGUAGUAAUGACUAUGUAGAGUUCGAUAUUUAACUUCACAUCAGUGUUUUUGAUGCAAUUUUUUCUUGAUUUUCUCUACUUUUUAUGUUUAUUAGGCUUUUCUUGAUUUUCUCUACUUUUUAUGUUUAUUAGGCUUCUAGUUGCUUGGAUUUGGUAUUACUCUCCUCGACCCCAGCUCAGAGAGAUCUAGGGUUGGGGGUUUCGAUUGCCCAAUGGAGGAGGUCAGCUCUCUUUGUGUUCGCUUUUUUUUUAAUCACUCUGGAGUUUGGAGUGGACGAAUUCGACGAGGUAAUUGGUGAAUCUUCUAUCUCAUCCUAUUGAUCCGUAAACUUCAAUUUAUGUGAAUUGGGUCAUGAACUUAGAGACUUCUUCGCUUGGUCUAUUCAUGCUUAAUUAGUUUGAUACGAUGCAUCCAACUUUCUAAUAAUUGUGUGAACAAAAAUAAAUAAGUUAUUUCUAAUUUCUUCCCAAUUCAGAUUGGAGUACUCAUUGCCUAAUCUGGUCAACAAAUCUUAUCAUUAUAAUUUUCUAUCAUAGAAAUGCAUUAGUUUCCUUCAAAACAACAUUAAACAAGGUUUAAGAAUCACCUAAGGGUAGCACAUUUUAUGUUCUCGCGAUCCCAUUAAACAACAUUUGAAAAUGCAGUUUCCCCUGGGAUUGCAAUUUGACAAUAAAUUUGAAUUAUUCUAUUCCCGUGAGUAGUCCACUGGGCUAUAAGGAUAUGUGGAAGACCUAUAUUCUCUAUUCAGAUGUUUGAAAAACCUCCAUAGCUAAUUUUGUUGGGAUCAUUUGAUAGCUUUCUUUAUGGCAAAUAGCAUAAGAUUUAAGCUGAAGCUUCUAAUUUGAAAGUCAUGCAAAACAUACAUAGAGGAAGAACAACAAGUUGGAGCUCAGAAACUUACAUACUAGUGGCCCACAAGAAAAAAGGUAGGAAAAAUGUGCUGAAAGUAGAAAAUCUAGACAAUAAAUAAACAAGGUUAUUUUUCAGGUUUUGCCCUAAAAAUUAGAACUAUGAAGGAGAUUAACCUACUGUUCUAUUGGUGGUUGUGGGGAAGUAAAGCUUAUUAUCGGUUAAAAAGUUCAUAUGGUGGGAAAUCCGCCCAAAUCAAAUCAGCCGAUUGUGGGAUGUUAUCUAUCACCAUUUAGUGCAUAUUGUGCUAGUAUAUUUUCUUUUUUUGGUGAUAGUGCAGGAACUUUUUGCCUCUUAAGUAUCAAACAUUAAAAUAAGCUUUGUUAUCUCAUAGAAAUUCCAUUUUUAUUUUUAUAUACACGCAUGCAGAUAACCGUUCUUAUUGGUACUUAUUAUUUUUCAACAUUGGGCACUACAACUAUAUAUAAAUUAUUCAUUCAGAUCCGAACUUCUCACAUGUGAAUUAAGUAGUUGCUGCCCAUAUGACACAUUUAAUACUCAUCCAAACAUAUAUUUUCAUAAAAUCUAAAAUGAUUUUAGUAAUAAAAACAAAAGACUUGAUAAGAUUAGAGGAAGACAAAUAGAUUUUGGAUGAAUGGAGUGGUAAUAUGUUUACCUAGUCUAAAACUUGAUAAGAAAAAUUCGAGUAGGUACCCAUUUACUUGAGAAGUUGUACGCGAUCACCUGAUUUGUAAUGGAAUUAGUCCUAAUUAUGAUAAUUGGUUCUUUUAUGGGGAACCCAUAUUUAGAGCCACAUCUAAUCCUACUAAUGAGAGUCGUAGUUUUCUGGUCCAUAAUGUGAAUGAUAGUAUACGUGGCAUGCUACAUGAAGCUUUUCAAAUGCAUAAUAAUCAACUUCAAGAUGACUUUCAAGAUGAUAGUGAUUUUCAAGACUCAUCUGGAAAAGGUUCUGAUUCACAGUAACCUAAAGGUGCUCCAAAUAAAGAUGCAAGCAAAUUUUAUAAGUUACAUAAAGAUGCUAAACAACUUUUGUAUAAUGGUUGUGAGAAGUAUAGCAAAUUGACAGCUAUUGUAGUUUUAUAUUAUGUAAAGUCCCUUCAUGGGUGGAGUAGUAAAUCUUUUAGUAUGCUCCUUGAAGUACUAAAAGAUAUGCUUCCUUCAGAUGCUAAGUUGCCAGAUGAUUGCUAUGUCGCGAAAAAAAUAUAUUAGGGACCUAGGCCUUGGAUACGAAAAGAUUCAUGCAUGUCCUAAUAAUUUUAUUCUAUUCUGGAAAGAGAAUGCAGAUUCUGAAAUUUGUCCAAAAUGUAGUACAUCAAGAUGGAAAACUAAUGACGUUAAUAUUAAUCUAGAUGUGGACGAAAAUUCCAUAAAAAAAAAAAAGCUAGCAAAAGUACUGCGAUGGUUCCCUUUAAAGCAAAGGCUUCAAAGAUUAUUCAUGUCCUCAAAAACUGCUUCUAUGAUACAAUGGAAUGCUGAAGGUCGGGCGAAUGAUGGGUUGAUAAGGCAUCCUGCUAAUUCAAUAGUAUGGAAAAAUUUUGAUAGGCGAUAUGCAGACUUCUCAUUAGAUUCUCGCAAUGUUAGCAACUGAUGGGUUCAAUCCUGUUCAAACUAUGAGCACUAAUUACAGUUGUUGGCCUGUCAUAUUGAUCCCAUACAACUUGCCACCAUGGGUAUGCAUGAAGAGGUCUUUGUUUAUUUUGUCAUUACUCAUUCCAGGCCCGAAUUCACCUUCUAUUAAUAUAGAUGUGUAUUUGCAACUUUUGAUCGAGGAGUUAGUACAAUUGUGGGAACUCGGCCUUGAUACAUACAACGCAUCUGUCGGAGAAAAUUUUUGUAUGCGUGUUGCAUUGUUAUGGACAAUUAAUGACUUUCCUGCAUAUGGUGACUUAUCUAGGUGGAGCACCAAGGGUCCUCUUUCUUGUCCUUCUUGUAAUUACGAUACUCGUUUUCGAUGGUUAAAAUACGGUGGCAAAUACUGCUUUAUGGGUCAUAGGCGAUUCUUACAAAAGAAUCAUAGAUUUCGAAAAACUAGGAUAUCAUUCGAUGGCACUCAAGAAAAUGGAGUUGGCACCUAAAAUAUUAUCCGGAGUAGAAAUUUUGGAGCACACUUAAUAAGUUGAAUGUAACUUUAGUAAGCAUAUUAAUAUAUGUCAAAAGAAAGGAAAAGAAAUGAAAAUAUAGAGUAUCAACCAUAGAAGAAAAGGAGUAUAUUUUUUAUGUCACCUUACUGGGAACACCAUAUGUUGCGUCACAAUCUUGAUGUGAUGCAUAUUGAAAAGAAUAUCUACGAUAAUAUUCUUGGCACAUUAUUGAAUUUUGAUGGCAAAUCAAAGGACAAUCUGAAGGCAUGCCUUGAUUUAAAAUAUAUAGGNCACCUUACUGGGAACACCAUAUGUUGCGUCACAAUCUUGAUGUGAUGCAUAUUGAAAAGAAUAUCUACGAUAAUAUUCUUGGCACAUUAUUGAAUUUUGAUGGCAAAUCAAAGGACAAUCUGAAGGCAUGCCUUGAUUUAAAAUAUAUAGGAUUAUGACUUGCUUCAUCCUCAAAGUGUUGGACUAAAUAAAAUUAUUUUACCACCAAAUUGCUUCACAAUGUCUCUAAAAUAAAAGGAUGAGUUUUUAAAAAUUUUGAAAAAUGUGAAAGUGCUGCAUGGCUAUGCAUCUAACCUAUCAUGUAUUCAGCUUAAGGAACGCAAAAUGAUAGGUUUAAAGAGUCAUGAUUGUCAUAUUUUAAUGCAACAACUUCGUCCGAUAGCAUUGCGUGGUGUUUUAUCGAAGAGAGUAGUUGCACAUCUAAUUGACUUGUGUUGUUUCUUUUGUGAGCUGUGUUCCAAAACUUUGGAUGUACGUGAACUUGAGCAAUCGGAAUCUCGAUUUGUGGAAACUCUAUGCCAUUUGGAAAUAAUCUUUACUCUGUUUUUUACCAUUAUUGUACAUUUGGUCGUCCGUUUAGUUACUGAAGCCAAAAUUGCAGGACCAGUACUAUCAUUGGAUGUAUCCUAUCUUUUAACUCUUCUAGUCUAUGUUAUCUUUUUGACCUGUAGGGCUCUCUUGCGGCUCAAGUUUGAGGUACGUAUAAGGCUCAUCCGGAGGAUUCAAUUGCAGAAAGCUACAUGGUAGAAGAAUGUAUGACGUUUUGGUCAUGGUUAUAAAAAGAUUCAUAUGGAGAAUUUUGUUAGCUGGUUUCAAUCAUAUGACCAAAACCGGUCAACAAAAUUCUCUAUAUGAAUCUUAUUUAUAACCAUAUCACUUGGGCGUGUUCCACGAUUCUACCUCUUUAUUGCAUUUUUAUGAAUACUAGACAAAAAGAAAUAAUGUUAAUAUCAAGCAAUUAAAACUAGUAGGUACAUAAUACUUAUAUGAUAUAGUUAUUGACCUGCAAAAAGGAAUUAUUUCAUUACUAUUGAACAGUACAUAUCGAUGAGCUUGCAGCCAUGACUUUUGAUCAAGAAGAAUAUUUAAGAUUGCUCCCAUUGAAUCAUCAAUAUUCCUAGCGGGCCUAUUGAAUGUUGUCUCGAUAGUUUCCUCAUACAUUCUUCUACCAUAUAGUCUUCUACAAUUGAACUCUCUGGAUGAGCCUUAUUACAUAUCUUAGACUUAAGCCGAAUGAGAGCCCUACAGGUCGAAAAGAUAACAUAGACUAGAAAAGUUAAAAGACAAUUAGGUUAAGUAAAAAGUAACAAGAUGACUAGGUCAAACCUAACCUCUCGAUAGGAUACAUCCAACGAUAGUAUUGACUUCAGUAGCUAAAUGGACGACCAAUGUACCAUAAUGGUGAAAAAUGAAGGAAGAAAGAUUGUUUCCAAAUGACAUAGAGUUUUCAUAAUUCGAGAUUCCAAUUGCUCAAGUUCACGUACAUCCAAAGUUUUGGAACACAACUCACGAAAGAAACAACACAAGUCGAUUAGAGGUGCAACUACUCUCUUCGGUAAAACCCCACGCAAUGCUAUUGGAAGAAGUUGUUGCAUUAAAACAUGACAAUCAUGACUCUUUAAACCCUAUCAUUUUACGUUCCUCAAGUUGAAUACAACAUGAUAGGUUAGAUGCGUAGCCAUCCGGCUCUUUCACAUUUUUCAAAAUUUUUAAAAACUCAUCCUUUUAUUUUAGAGACAUUAUGAAGCAACUUGGUGGUAAAAUAAUUUUAUUUAGUCUAACACUUUGAGGAUGAAGCUCAGGUCGUAAUCCCAUAUCUUUAAAUCAAGGUGUGCCUUCAGAUUGUCCUUUGAUUUGCCAUCAAAAUUCAAUAAUGUGCCAAGAACAUUAUCGCAUAUAUUCUUUUCAAUAUGCAUCACAUCGAGAUUGUGACGCAAUAUUUGGUGUUCCCAAUAAGGUAACAUAAAAAAUAUUCCCCUUUUCUUCCAUGGUUGAUAUUCUAUAUUUUCAUUUCUUUUCCUCUUUCCUUUUGACAUAUUAAUAUGCUUACCAAAGUUACAUUCAACGUAUUGUAUUGAGUGUGCUCCAAAAUUUCUGCUCCGAAUAAUAUUUUAGGUGCCUACUCCUUUUCUUGAGUGUCAUCGAAUGAUAUCCUAUCUUUUCGAAAUCUAUGAUUCUGUUGUAAGAAUCGCCUAUGGCCCAUGAAGCAGUAUUUGCCACCGUAUUUUGACCAUCAAGAGCGAGUAUCGUAAGUACAAGAAGGACAAGAUAGAGGACUCUUGGUGCUCCACCCAGAUAAGUCACCAUAUGUAGGAAAGUCAUUGAUUGUCCAUAACAAUAUAGCACGCAUACAAAAAUUCUAUUCGAUAGAUGCAUCAUAUGUAUCAAGGCCGAGCUCCCACAAUUGUACUAACUCCUCGAUCAAAGGUUGCAAAUACACAUCUAUAUUAAUAGAAGGUGAAUUCGAGCCUUGAAUGAGUAAUGACAAAAUAAACGAAAACCUCUUCAUGCAUAUCCAUGGUGGCAAGUUGGAUGGGAUCAAGAUGACAGGCCAACAACUGUGCUUAGUGCUCAUAGUUCGAAAAGGAUUGAACCCAUCAGUUGCUAAUCCGAGCCUAACAUUGCGAGGAUUUAACGAGAAGUUUGCAUAUCGCCUGUCAAAACUUUUCCAUGCCAAUGAAUCAGUAGGAUGCCUCAUCAACCCAUCAUUCGUUCGACCUUCAGCAUGCCAUUUUAUUAUAGAAGCAGUUUUUGAGGACAUGAAUAACCGUUGAAGCCUUUGCUUUAGAGGGAACCGCCGCAGUACUUUUGCUGGCUUUUUCUUUUUGAUGGACUUUUCUUCCACAUCUAGAUUAACAUUAACAUCAUUAGUUUUCCAUCUUGAUGUACUGCAUUUUGGACAAAUUUUAGUAUUUGCAUUCUCUUUCGAGAAUAAAAUACAAUUAUUAGGACAUGCAUGAAUCUUUUCAUAUCCAAGGCCUAGGUCCCUAAUAUAUUUUUUUACGAUAUAGCAAUCAUCUGGCAAGUUAGCAUCUGAAGGAAGCAUAUCUUUAGUACUUCAAGGAGCAUACUAAAAGAUUUAGAGGCAAUUGCCUAUAUACUCUUGAAAAGUUUCCGGUUUUCUUAUUUACCCCUCUUAGAAGGCUAAUAUUGAAAAUACCCUUCUUAUAUUCCAAGCGUUUCUAAUAUACCCCUGGAGUUAAUUUUCGUUAGUGAGCUGCCGUUAUCUCUAGAAAAUUACUAUUUUGCCCAUUCUAAUAUGCCCUUCUACCGUAACUAACUUUUCUUAUAUAUCCUUCAUAUAGCAAAUACUUUUCUUAUUUGCCCUUCAAAUAUUAAUUAAUUAAUUAAGCACGUCAGGAGCGAGCAGAUGAACGGAUGAGAUCGAUCGCAGCUAAACCAACCUUGGUGGCCGGAGGCAUAGUUAGUUAAUUCGGAUUCGGCAAAAAUUCGGUACGGAUAUAAUUCGGAUAAAAUUCGAUUUUUAAUUUUUAAAUUCGUUGAAAAAUACGGCUAAAAAACGGAUUCGAUAGUUAUUCGGAUACGUGAUUUAUACGGGUAUUAUACGUUCACCAAUUUAAAAUUCGGGAUCAAAUAUAAUUUUUAUAUAUAAUUUUUAAAAAUUCGGUAUUAUACUAUAUAUAUUAUUAUUAUAAUAUUUAUAUAUAGAUUAAAUAUAUUUAAAAUUAUGAUAAACAUAUACUAAUAAUAUAUAAGAGUUAUAUAUUUAAAAAUAUUAAUAAAUAAUUACAAAUUUAUAAAUAAAAUAUUAUAUAAUAAUAUUUCUAUAUAUAAAUAAAAUACUAUAUGAAUAUAUAUUUAUAAAUUAUAUAUAUAUAUAUAUAUACACACACACACACACACACACACUUAUAUAUAUAAUGAGAGGGAGGUCCACGGUGGACCUCCCUCUCAUCCGGUCCACGAGGCCAAAUUGGCCUCGUGGACCGCGCACACCCAAGGGCGAGGGCGUGCCGUUGCCGGGCGUCCGCGAGAGAGAGCGCGCCGCGCUCCGCCGUCCGCAAGGGCGUGGGCGUGGUGCGGUCGGGCGUAGUGGGGGAGGGGUGCUGGUUGCGGGCGACCUAGAGGUCCAUGAUCUUGCGGGCAGCGUCGGUGCUCUCGUGCAUGAGGCGGGCGACCUCGGCCUUGGGCAGGCCCAGGCGGAGCGUGCGGGCGUCGUCGGGGUGGGCGUGGGCGUGGGAGUUGAGGAGGGAGAGGUCGGAGGAGGAGGACGACAACGACGAUUCAACAAAUCCAUAGGCUCUCGGCGUCGACCAAGGCGGCGGAGGAGGAGGAGGACGACGAGAGCGGCGAGAGGGGUGGUGGUCUGGGAGGUGGUGGUGGUGGUCUGGGAGGAGAUGAGGCGAGGUGGAGGCGGAGGAGCCGGCGAGGUGGAGGCGGAGGAGCUGGCGAUCACGUUGGGAGAGAGAGGAUAACUUAAGGAAUUAACAUAAUAAGGUAGGGGUAAAAUAGGUAUUUUAUAUAGGUUUUAACUCUAGUAUACAUUUAACCCAUAUUUAACUCGAGUUAAGUUAAUAGGGGAUAACUGCGGGGGUAUUUUGGAAUAACGGUGGAACAUAUGAGGGGCAUUUUAGAAAGAAAAAAAAAAGUAGGGAUAGAUCGGAUAUUUCUAGACGCAUGAGGGGUAUAUAGGCAAUUAUCCCAAAGAUUUAUUGCUCCACCCAUGAAGAGACCUCAAAUGAUAUAAAACUACAAUAGCUGCCAAUUUGCUAUACUUCUUACAACCAUUGAACAAAGGUUGUUCGGCAUCUUUAAGUAACUUAAAAAUUUACUUGCAUCUUUAUUUGGAGCAUCUUUAGGUUGCUGUGAAUCAGAACCUUCCCCAGAAGAUGAGUCUUGAAAAUCACUAUCAUCUUGAAAGUCAUCUUGAAGUUGAUUAUUAUGCAUUUGAAAAGCUUCAUGUAACAUGCCACAUAUACUAUCAUUCACAUUAUGGACCUAAAAACUACGGCUCUCAUUAGUAGAAUUAGAUGUGCCUCUAGAUAUGGGUUCCCCAUAAAAGAACCAAUUAUCAUAAUUAGGACUAAUUCCAUUGCAAAUCUGGUGAUCGCAUACAACUUCUCGAGUCCAACUAUAGAAAUUUGUGCAUUUCAUACAAGGACAUGAAAUCCUCCUAUCCUCUGACCCAUUUUUAAAAGUAAAAUUCACAAAAUCAUUUGCUCCUUUAUAAUAUUCAUAUGUCCAUCUACUCUUUUUUAUCCAACUUUUAUCCAUUGCAGUACUUAUCAAGUUGUAAAAUCAACCUAUAAAAAAGAAAGCUCAUAAUUAUAAAAGAAAAUGUAGAUCAAGUAAAUAAUUGGUAAAAGUAAAUGGGUACCUACUCAAAUUUUUCUUAUCAAGUUUUAGACUAGGUAUACAUAUUAUACUCCAUUCAUCCAAAUAUCUAUUUUUCUCCCUCUAAUCUUAUCAAGUCUUUUGUUUUUAUUACUAAAAUCAUUUUAGAUUUUAUGAAAAACUAUGUUUGGAUGAGAAUUAUAUCUGUCAUAUGGGCAGCGACUACUUAAUUCACAUGUGAGAAGUUCGGAUAUGAAUGAAUAAUUUAUAUAAUUGUAGUGCCCAAUGUUGAAAAAUAAUAAGUACCAAUAAGAACGGUUAUAUGCGUGCGUGUAUAUAAAAAUAAAAGUAGAAUUUCUAUAAGAUAACAAAGCUUCUUUUAAUGUUUGAUACUUAGAGGCAAAAAGUUCCUGCACUAUCACCAAAAAAAGAAAAGAAAUAUACACUAGCACAAUAUGCACUAAAUGGUGAUAGAUAACAUCCCACAAUCGGUUGAUUUGAUUUGGGUGGAUUUCCCACCAUAUGAACUUUUUAACCGAUAAUAAGCUUUACUUCCCUACAACCACCAAUAUAAUAGUAGACUAAUCUCCUUCAUAGUUCUAAUUUUUAGGGCAAAACCUGAAAAAUAACCUUGUUUAUUUACUGUCUAAAUUUUUCCACUUUCAGCACAUUUUAUCUACUUUUUUCUUGUGGGCAACUAGUAUGUAAGUUUCUGAGGUGCAACUUGUUGUUCUUCCUCUAUGUAUGUUUUGCAUGACUUUCAAAUUAGAAGCUUCAGCUUAAAUCUUAUGCUAUUUGCCAUAAAGAAAGCUAUCAAAUGAUCACAAUAAAAUAAGCUAUGGAGGUUUUUCAAACAUCUGAAUAGAGAAUAUAGGUCUUCGACAUAUCCUUAUAGCCCCAAACCUAUUACUUGGCAUUGCCUAGAAUAGUGGACUCACUACAAAAAAGUCGAUUUGUGGCGACAGUUAUUUUAGUAACAUUUAACACAAGUGCUGCCAAAAAUAUAUUUUAGCAGCCGUUUUAAAUAAUUAUUAUAACAUUUCUAAACCGUCGGUAUAUAGUAGUAUAAUAACUGAAGGAUUUUUAUUUUAACUUUUUUUUAAUUUCCAAAGUGAUUUAGAAAGGCAGCUAGAAAUGUGUUAAUGCUAAUUGGGCCUAGCUUAUCUUGGGCUGCACUGAAUUUGGCUUCAACAUUAUUAGUGGGUUACAUUGUCCCCAAAAAAUUAUCGGAUUUACAUAUUUGAACUCCAUAAGAAUUGUUUAUAUUAAUUAAUGUUUUGGAGUCAAAAAAAUUAAACCAAUGUAAUUCAUAGAAUCUAAAAUUCUAUAUAUAAAGAAGUCUUAUGUAGUACACUGAACUGGCGCAAAUUGCGAAGUUCAAGUGUGGAAACGAUAAUUGGAACUACCUGACACCUUCUAAAGGGUUUAGAGAUGGUUGUGGACAAGUUUGGGAGUGAUUAGGCCACUGGAAGCGAGAAAGUGCAUUGCUACUACUAUUUCUGCAUCUUCUGCAUUGUUGUACCGGUACAACAUUGAGUCUGUACCGGUACAACAAGCAUCAGCAGCAGCAGCUGCGUGGCAGUGAGGAGAUUUUGGUAAUUUCACCUUUUAAGCUUAUCUUUAACCCUGAAUUUGACCCUUGCAGCUGUCUUGGAGGUGCUGGAGCCUGGAGAGGCAGGUUGGAAGGCUUCUCUUCUUCUCUCUCUAGGGUUUUUCUCUCUCUACAUUGGAAUCAAGGGUUUUGGUCUACUUUCUUCUCCUUCUUUGAUGCUGAUUGUUUUGGGAAGCCAGGGAGCUGUUGUAGAAGGGUGAAGAAGGUAUUUUGGGAAGGAUUUCGCAACUCCAUCACAGCAGGUAGCUGAGUGGAGACUUGCUAAGGUAACUAACUAACUAUUUGUUAGCUUAAUGCUUUAGUAGUAGAGUUGAAUAUGAUUUCGGGUUUCUUGUGCCCAGCUGGUGUGAGGGGAGUUCUAGUAGCCCUAGAAGCAGGAUUUGAUGUGGUUUUUGUAACCUGAAUCCAGAGGGAGAAUGAGAUUGGAACUUGGAAUGAGGUAAGUAGUGAAUUGAUUACCUUAUGUGAGGUUACAAUAAGCUUGUUAAUGAAGAAUGAAGUUGUUUUUGGGUACAUGUUGCUGCAGCUUGGAGGCUCCUGUUGUGCUGAAUAGCUUGACAUUGUGAACUAGGUUGAGGGGAUUUCAACUAGAAGGAAGCAGAGUUACAAGUAAGAAAUCUAUAUAAAUGAGAUUUGAGCCUCGAUUUUGUGGUUACCCAAGUGUACUAAUGCAGUUUUGGGUUUGGUUCACAGCAGGAAGUGCGCACCUUAUAAUUGAGAGUUAGGACUCUUUUGAGCUGGAUUAAGCUGAUUGUGGAGUACUUCAAUUCAGAUUGAAGUAAAGUUUUGGCGUAAGUCUCAACCUAGGUGAGACUUUAGUCUAUAUUAUGUGAAUAUGUGAGAUAUUGUUCUAAGUAUAUAAUUUCAGUCUCUAGCUGAUUUUCGAUUGGUUAAUUAGGGACUUGGAGACUUCAAUUUCCUGCAGCUGUGAGUUUGACAAGGGUCAUCUAUUAGUAGGUGGGUUUGGCCUUACCAGAGUAAGUGAAUCUCCUCUAUGUUCUAUAUGAUAUUAUAGAAUUAUUGGUAUGUGCAACUAUGUGAACAAGUACUAGAUACAGAAUAUUGGAUGCCAUAAAUACGCUAGUUUUAUUGAAUGGAAGGAAACCUCUAUAAAGUAGAGAUAAUUAUGAAUAAUUGUCUUAGCGUUCAGUUUAAUUGUAUAGAUAAGGGAUAGUCCUACUAUGCUUCUAAAAAGUAGAGAACAAGGACAUGCACUUGUGACAUGAAUAAUAAUGCAUUUAUGCUGUUAAGUUCCAAUGGCAUAUGUAAUUAGCAUCUCUUUUAUGGGUUAUUAAUCUAGUGGAUACUAGCAUUUUUUCAUCACAUUCAAAUUCCGACCCAUUGGUCGAGAGUGAGAACUUUACAUGUUAAAACAUGACGACUGAGAACUGUUGGACUAUGGAUCGUGCUUGCUUGCCAUUGUGCUCAUUCGCACAUGCUUGUGAGGGUCGCUCCCCACAAGCCGGCACUCUGGAGUUGGCCUACACGACAGAUUGCUCGUCCGUGCGGGAUUGGGUGCCGAAGUGGAUUGCCGUGGGGAGUGUAUACUAUUAUAGGGCCAUUAGGCGCGGCGCAAGCUAGACUACCUUGGGUAGGUCCUUAUGAAUUAAACUAAGUUACUAAAUGGUAGUAUUAAAGGAUCAGCACUACUUAGGGUACAGUUGCAUAUCUACAUGACAUGGUUAUGUUCCUAAUAUCGCUUUACUUGCUUCUAAUUGGUUGAUAUAGCUGACAGUAUGAUAUAUGUUCAUCAUUAAUUACAUUGAUAUACCUAUCAUGCAAUCAAUGUUUUUACAUUUCUAAUAGUACAUCAUGAGUCUAGUGGUGUAAUUCGCCGAGGCUGGCGGUUUACCCACUGAAAAUUAUUGUUUAAUAGUUCUCACGCCCUCUGUGUUGUUAUUUUUACAGAGCCUUCCACGACGGGAGAGGCUAGGGAUCGCGGCAAGGGAGUCGCGUCUAGCUAGGCAUAGCGUGGAGUCCUGCUAGGUGAUCACCUCGCUAUUUUGAUAUGCUGACGAGGAUGAAGUGUACCUUGUGUAGAGAGACUACCACUUAUGUUUUAUAUAGUUGUUGGGUGACCCUGUAGAGUACAUGAUUGUUUGGAGUGAUGUAAUUAUGGUUUUGGAUUUCUAUCUCGUGUAGAGAUUUGCAGGGUUUAUACUUUUCUCCUGAUAGUAGUAUUCUUGGUUUAUAUUUUGCUUUGAUAUCAUGUUAGAAUCUCUUGUUACUUUCCUAAUAAGAUUUUAUAGACGUCUUAUAUACUGCAGAUAUAUGACGGGUCUGUGCAUAAACCGGAUAUGCUUCUGCUGGUAUCCGGGCGUGACAUCUUACUUACCGACCGUCCAUAGAGCAAGUGGCAAAAGGUUUGGUGGUUGGUACCCGAGGUUCCAAAUUUGAAUCCUAGUUGAUUCAUAUUUUCAGCUAAGUUUAUUUUUAAACGAAAUAAGCGAAACUGGUAGCGUGCUACCUAUCUCUCUCUCAAAAAAAAAAAAGUUUUUCUUUUUAGAGAUUAAAAAAAAAAAAAUGUUACUUACACGAAUCUCUAAUAUAUAGAUUUUAGUAUGAAAAUAAAAAAAUUAUAAAACUAAUUUAAAGCGUUGAUCGUUAAAAGGUGAACUUAUAAGAUUGUAGUCAAUUUUUGAUUGGAGAGUUAGCAUUACUUCUUUUAAAAAAAUAAUCCACCCUCUUUGCGAUGAAACCCCCACCCCUCCUCGAUACCGAUCUCCCUCAACACUCUCUCCCUCUCCAACACCGAUCUCCCUCUUCGACACUGCACUAGUAAAUCGCUCGGUACUUGUAAUGGCUUGUAGAGUUCGAUGUUUAGCUUCAUAUCAGUGUUUUUUUUACUUGAUUUUCUCUGUUUUUUAUUUUUAUUAGGCUUCUAGUGACUCUGAUUUGGUAUUAUUUGCUCAGAUUUGGUAUUACUCGCCUCAACCCCAACUCAGAGAGAGAGGUCGGUUAUGUCUUGCUUGGAUUGGGGGUUUUGAUUGCCCAGUGGUGGAGGUGACCUCUCUUUGUGUGACCUGAGGCUAUCGGAUUCGCUUUUUUUAGCACUCGAUCGGGAGCUCGGAUUAAUCUGAAACUGGAAUUUGAGGUGAAAGACCUAGAGAUCUUACUUGAACUGUAGAAACAUGCAAUUUUGAAUUUGGUACCUGAACUGGAAAAUGCGGAAUUUAUUAUCUGAAUUUGGAAUUUUAAAUAUUUUGAUUCUACUAACUUACUUUUCAGAAUUUAAUGGAAUUGUAGAAUAUUUUGUUUGAUUAGGGAAUAUUUGACUAAUAAUGUUAUAAAUACAGUAAAGUUAGUUAGUAGAAUCAAAAAUUUUAUAGGCCUUGUCACUGUUUCGAUAAAUAGUGUACGAUAAGGUAGUAACAUAGUCCUCCUUUCACUAUGAAAAAACAUUAAGGAUACUGCCGCUUCUUGCUUAUGCAGUACACGAAGUGAUUGGGUGUAAUUCUUGGUCUAAGUAUUUUAUUAGUGGUGGUGAACUUCUUUUCUAUGGCAGAAAUUAUGCAUGCAAUUGAACAUUUGACCUGAUUUUGAUGUGAAAUGAGAGAAAUUUUACUCUUUUGACUUCGUCACUGUAGCAAAAGAUAGAAGUUGGAAAAGAGUUGUUCUUUCUUUCACCAGACAAAAAGACAUAGAUGUAUAGUUUUUAAAUGUUUGCCAAUGCAUUUAAUUGCAUAGAACUCGUGAUAAAACAAAAAAGGGAAAAAACUGUUGCAUAGCAAAACGAGGCCUACAAUCUUUUGAAUAAAGUUCAUCCUUAGCUGCAAAUAAGAUGCAUAUAUCAUAAUCAUGUCUAUGAUCACUGUCCCAAAUUUCCAUCAUUUAUUCAGUAUGGAGUAGUUUCCUGCUGCUCUUCAUUGUCUGGUUCUUUUGCUAAUUCAUUUUGUUAAAGAGCAAAGAACAUGCAUGUAAAAUUGUAGAUCUUACACGAAUAAAUAUGUAAAAAAGUUUUGCAAUGUUUUAUAUGUAAAUGCGUCUUUUUUCAUCAGCAUAUUUUGACGGCGUCGCUUGGAAUAAUGUAGUAUUGCGUAGACUCGUGUAAUCUUGUUUUUAAUCAGGAAAAUGAAGUCCAGGUUGAUGAAAUUAAUCACAUAUUGAAACUUUGUUUCUUUUUUUGUCCUUUUUUAUUCAGAAAUGCCAUGGCCUGCAAUGCCAGCACCCAGACUUUGGAAUCUCAGGUAUGUUAAGUGAUGAUAUCCUCAUCAUUUUGACCAUUAUUUAAUUUGAUCAAUUUCAAAUAAUAGAUUGGACAAGUGGGUGAGAAGAAUUGACUUUUUAUGAGCACUAUUUAGGUUAAUCUGUGAAACAGUUCUUAUUUGGUCAAGAAGGCGGAUGGGGGAUAAAUUGGUAGAAAGCGUUAAUGAAUCCAUUAAUCAGCUAAGCAGGAACUCGCCAUAACAUGGUUGAUUAUUGAGUUAGAAUUAGGCAUGUUUGUUGUAUUUUUGCAAAUAAAGUUUUCGUUGACAAAUUCUUUCCAUUCAUUUACUCUCCCAUCCUAACUUUCCUUACGCAGAUUGGCAAGUUUGAAGAAAAAUCAGAGAGAAGCACCUUUCAUAAGCAGUAUGUAGUAUUAACGAAUGAAAAAGUAGUUAGAGCUAGCGAAUUUGAAAGCAAUGGAGGUUUGCGACUAAAACUAAGACUUGUAGGCCUUAUUUGGACAUCAGAAUAUGUUAUCCAAUGAUUACUUAUUCAGUUUGAAGAUUUUGUCAUCCACGAUUUGGUAGGAAGUAAUAUUUCACCUACCAGCUAUGAGAUGAUUUGCCUUAUUCCGUAAAAAAUGAAUUAAGAAGAUACCAAAGUAGGGUCGGACUAACUAACCCCUUUGAGCACAGUUAGAUAUCCGCAGUUUUAUAAGAAAGGUUCGAUACCUAGCUAUGUCAAAUUGGUUUACAGUAAAGCAAUAAGACUUGUUCUUUACUGAAUUAGUGGUGUGAAUUAGUGGUCAUGUACCAAAUUUUACUAACAUUUCACUCUACAGUAUGCAAUAGUUUUCAUAUCUUAAUCGCAAUGCUACGGUGUUUGAUGCGCUGAAUUACUGGUAUUUGGCUGAUAUAUAUAUAUAUAUAUNCAUACCUAGCAGCUAAGCCUUCGAGAUAGUAGCUUUUGCUAAAUAUUCAUGCUCUCGCUAGCAUGAGUAUUAUCAUAUCAUCAGCCUGGGAUAUAUCCGACACCGAUGAUAUGAUAAUACUCAUAACCUCGAGAGCAUGAAGAUUCAACAAAAAAAACUACUUCGAAGGCUAAGAAAAUAGGUGAGGCAAUUUAUACUAGAUCUCAUAAACUAUGAAGAUCUUUAACAGUUUAAAGCACUGAAAAACUUUAGCAUUCCAUUUAAGACAGCUUGCUAAUAUUUUAAACGAAAGAUCUUUAAAAUUGACGACAGGUAUUGUAAAUUCCUACUACCUUAGCAAGCUAAGCCUUCGAGAUAGUAGCUUUUGCUAAAUACUCAUGCUCUCGCUAGCAUGAGUAUUAUCAUAUCAUCAGCCGUUAAAUGUUAUUUAUAGCAUUUAAAACUUCUAGAAAUCAAAUUUUAUAAUUUUUCGACAUCAUUUACCUUACGAUCAAGAGGUCACAAAUUUGACAAUUUUUAAUGGCCGGUAUGGGAUACUUGCUAUUUUAACGGUGUAAAAGAAUCGAAAUUUGUUGAAUUUUGAUACAAAAUUUUAUUCGCUAUCUAGAUAAAGAUCAAUAACUCUGAUCUUGAAUUGAAGGAUUCGAUCAUCCUUUUUUAGGACGUCGUUCGAUUUUGACUGUUUAUUUUAUGCUCGUUUGAUGGACUUUAUUAUGAUUUCGAAAAUUUACGAAAUUUAUUUUCUAGAAGUUUCAAAUACUCUAGAUCAUAUUUAACGGAGUGGAUCGUCGAUUUGGAAGCUUCAUCAUAAAAAACAAUUUAGAAGUACGAGAGCUCCAAUACUCAUAAUAGUAUAGUAGCCACGGCCUAUAUAGGGUCCGACUACUAUACUAUUAUGAGUACGAUCUGCCACAGCCCGCGACCACCCGCCUAUUUGGCUGAGGUCCCGGAGCCGCCGACAUCGCCGAAUGGACAGGGUUUCUCCUGUACUACGGACAGAGUCUCCCCUGUACAUUCAAGGCAUCGCAACCAAUACAAUUCACGAAGGUUCCAACCAGAAACAGAUAUCAAUCAAGAUUGCAAGUGGAAGGUAUCAUACAACAUAAACACAUCCUAAGUUAUUACAUUCAUUCACUUUCAUAGUUUUUAUAUUAUAGUUUCCAUUCUUUUUCAUCCAAAUGCAAUCUAAGUUAUUACAACAUUUACUUACUACAAGUUUGAUACAUUGUAUUCUUUUCAUUUCCUUUACCCCUAAGCUAUAUAGACGGGAUACUGCUAGCUCUGGUCUCUGGGGUAGGGCGCUAUCUGCAGAACUACGCCCUCGCCUUGCGCCGCCGCGCUGCACAUGUGUGUACCUGUACCCUCAAAACAGCAACACGGGGGUGAGACUAUUGUCCAUAGUCCUAAGUGGGUUUAGUCACCCAAGAGAACCAGCUCAACCAACAGGUCUAACGAGGCACUGCAACAUGUUAGUUCAACAAUAUACAACAGAUAUAUAUUCAAUUGAAAUACAUGUCAUGCCUCACGAAAUGCAAGAUGCAAUACCUGUAAUCAUGUAAGUAGGGUACUUUAACGCUACUUAUAUUCUUAAUCAUUCUUUACCCUUGUCAUUUAAUGUUUACUUUUAGCUCUUAGCUAUUCUUUACUUGUAACCUUUCUUUACUUUAUCAGCUAUUCUUAUUCCUUAGCCGAUCUUUAUUCUUUACUUAUUCUUUAUUCUUUACUUAUUCUUUAUUCUUUAUACUUUGUUGCACUUUUCCACUGGCCAUUCUUUCCAAAGGUUUCUCUUACCUUAGUUCUCUAUGCCAUUCGAUUCGGUCUUAAGUCAAUCAAUCGCGGAUAGUCCGCGCACUGUCUAGCUCGAGGUGAAGGAACUCACAUGCACCUCAGCUGGCAACAGCUCACCGUACUCCUGUCCUAGUCGUCUGGCGGCGAACGAAUCGCACCUCACCCAACAACGGCCUAGGUCCAUGACUUAGCCACCCGGCGGCGAAAUCGUCGCACAAACGCCAUGACAGUGGUUCAGUCAACAGGCGGUAGGAUUCACAAACUGGCUAACCAUCCGGCGGCGAAAUCGUCGCACACACCAUGACAGAGGUUCUUUAGCCCUUGGGCGGCGAAAUCGUCGCACACACCCAACACCACUUUGGGUGUAUCCUUUUAGCCUUGGGAUUCCGGAAUCCAUUUCACAUCACAUAGGGGUUGGUCUUAACCCUAUGGAACUGACCUCUCUAGGUCUAAGCUUUUACUCAACCUAAGUUCACCCAUUAGGUUUAUUGCUUUCACCUUCUUAACCUAGGUUUAUUAUAUUAGGAUCAUUAUUCUUUCCAACCUAGGUUCACUUGACUCUAGGUUAAGUACUUUUCAUUUCACGACCUAUAUUUAUUAACACUAGGUUGGAUGCCACUCGAUCUAUUUGAUUUUAGAUCUACUCCUGACCUAUGUUCCUUAACACUAAGUUAGAUGCCACUCGAUCUAAUUCACAUACUAAUUGUCCAAUUAAGCAUUCUACUUAUUCUAGAGUUAUCAAUUCUCAUUUUCCAAUGUUAUCUCUCUAAUCAAGCUAGAGUUAUCAACCAAGUUCAUAUGCAUAUAUAAUCUCACAAUGCUAAGCAUGCAUCUAUGAUCUCACAAUGCUAAUCACGCGUUUAUAAUCUCAUAUAUCAUUUAUAUGCAUCUACUUAGCAUUUACAUCAUUCUAUAAACAUGCAUCAUAUAACUUGCUCAUUAUGCAUUCUAGCAUUUCUACAUUACAUUAUUUAGCAUUAUAUAACUUGCUCAUAAUGCAUUCUAUUUAGCAUUUACAUCAUACUAUCAACAUGCAUUAUUUAGCUACAUGCAUCAUUUACAUGCUUCAUUUACAUUUAUAU